AUCACCCACCGUUACUCGGUUGCGUGCGCUGCCACGGUGUGGGCGACUCAGUGUUCCGCGGGCCCGGGGCAUCAGCAGCUGAACUACCUUGCCGACGAGGGCGGGCGUGCCCUGAAGACCCGGUGCUUCUCCGUUGCUUGCAUGGCGCUCCACCUCGCGGCCAUAUAGAUCGGGCCAUCGUGAUCCUCCUCCUUGUUUUCCCACCGAGCCCAGCCGAAACCGCUCUACCAUUGUCGCCUCCAAGAUUCCACCCGCCAUUGUUGCCGAGAGUGGGACCUCGCCAGGAUUGGUGUGCCGCUCGAAUUGAGUAGGUCGGGGAGCUCCACUACGACUCGACGAGCGUGUCCACGGCCUUAUGUCAGGUUGGGUGCUCUUGUGCCCUUCUAAUUUCUCGUCGGAGCUCGGCUUGUGCAUAGAUCCGCCGUGAGACCUCCUGCGCCCAGUCUACCUUCCCUUUCGGGGUUCGUCGGGACGCCAUCCGUAUCGCGGGCAGAGCUACUCAACUGUGUGGCGGCCGGUGUAAUCGUUCCUCAUGUGUUCGCCUUGGGUCUAGCUUCGGGUUGCACGGGCUCCCUUCAAGGUUGUAGCAGUCGCACCCCGUGGGGACUUCCUCCGUCCAUGGCUUCGCUGCGGCGCAACUUGGUUAGUCGCCGGCGUUCAACCAGGAAGAGGAAGACGCGAUCUGGCUGUUGAUACGCUGAUGUGGGGCAAGGAUUAGAAAUUACCAUACCCCUUCGCUGAGUUCAUCUCGGUCGUGGAUUUCAAUCAGACGGCUCACAACUGAUUUAGGGUAGGUGAUUCCUUCACCGUCGAUCGUAGAUCCGACGUCUCACGUGGCACACUGGUUCGCUUCACUCUAGAUCUAAUCUGGGUCGUUGGAAUUUGAUCCAACAACAGGGAAACAGCCAUACCCCUUUGGCCCUGUAAAAUUGUAUAAGAGACCCUGGAUAAUUAUAGAAUCAACAAGCCAUCCACAUUCACUGUUCA